UAGAAAUCGAAUCAAUCCCGCUUCCACUUCUUCUCUCGCUUGAAUUAUUUCCCGUCAUUUUGACCAAUUGCAUACAUAUACAAACAUAUGUACAUAAUGGCAACAGAUAUGCACGAGUAGUCGAGUAGGUAUACCUACGUCAUACAAAUUAUGCAAGAUUAGCGACAUUUAGAACGGGCGUUGACGGUCACCGCGGUGAUGUAACCGCAUGCCGUGAGACAGAAGUUCCGGCAUCUACCUGCCGGAUGUACCAGCUAUCACUUUCUACCGACCACCGCCGUUCAUUCACUCCGGACUUCUCUAUAUCAAAGUAUCUCAAUUCUUGGUAGUUGCCUACCAAAAUUUAUGAUGUGUUUCAAUUUGACAAUAAAAAGAUGUUGGCGAAUUUCGUCGGGAGAAGACACAUAAUGCUCGCACUCCGUGACGAAUCCAAGAUGGCGGAUUGGCGCAGUUUGGUGGUCAUUCACCUGCACCCGGUUGAAGGCCCUAAUCCACAUGCAAUAAUUGUGCUGUUACAUUUUUAUAACAAAUUUAUUACAUUAAUAGAUCUACUGGUACAUUUGUACAGUAUCAUUUCCAUUCUCACCAUUACACAAUUUUAUCAUAGUAGACUAAACCGGAAACGGUGCCCACCAAAACAAUGUGUGACCAAAGUGUAUCAUAUAAAACCUGUAAUCUAGUUGAUGGCUUUUUUAAUUUAUAUCCAUUAUUUUGCUCUUGCACUUGCACUUGCUUAGGUGUCUACUUACUUUACAUCCACUCACCUUUUCUUCGAACUAGGUGCAGGGUAACCUAAAACAAAAAUAACUAUAGAAAAUAUCCCCAGAAAGUUAAACAAUAUAAAGCACGUCUAGAUAAAACGCAUCAGAUUAAAAAUAAAAAGCGGAUACUGAUAAAAAAGUGCGAUUUCUUGGAAAAAUAUGUGAUGGGCGAUGGGGCAGGGUUUGGUUUGCAAACGAGCCGAAGCCAAUGAGCAGGUUAAAUGACGUCACGCGGUGCCUCCUAGCGUGACUCACGCGGAUUUGAAAGUCGAAGGCUGUCGCGGCGCGGACUAAUAUGGCAUAGCCGGCCACGGAGUGUACGCACUGUGUUUGGUAAUGAUACAGGGAGAUUCAAAACAUUUCUAGGUCUUCUGUUCAACUGAACCGAGCAAGCACUUUCAGGCAUGGUUUUUGGGGCCACAAAUUAAGUUAGGUACUUAGAUAUACAUAAUUAAUCAAGCGGACAUAAUUCUAUAGGGAAAUGUAUCAAAAAUAAAUAUUUUAUAAACUUCCCCUAUACCUAAAGUGGAAAAUCUCCCGAUUGAUAGUUCUUAUCACCAUCUUUUACAAUAAAUUUAUAAGAAAACAAUAACCCGCGACGUUCUGUUUCGGAAAUGUUUUACUUAAAAUAAAUGAA